GCAUAAGACCACGGCCGGGCAUCCGGCAGAGGUCAAAGGAGCAAUCCGGUGCAGGGUGAGCUCGCGUCCGAUUAGAUAGUUGGUGAGGUAACGGCCCACCAAGUCGACGAUCGGUAGCCGACCUGAGAGGGUGAUCGGCCACAUUGGGACUGAGACACGGCCCAAACUCCUACGGGAGGCAGCAGUGGGGAAUAUUGGGCAAUGGGGGGAACCCUGACCCAGCAACGCCGCGUGAGGGAAGAAGGUUUUCGGAUCGUAAACCUCUGUCCUUGGUGAAGAGAGAGAGACGGUAGCCAAGGAGGAAGCCCCGGCUAACUACGUGCCAGCAGCCGCGGUAAUACGUAGGGGGCGAGCGUUGUCCGGAAUGAUUGGGCGUAAAGGGCGCGUAGGCGGCUUUUUAAGUCUGGAGUGAAAGUCCUGCUUUCAAGGUGGGAAUUGCUUUGGAUACUGGAGAGCUUGAGUGCAGGAGAGGUAAGUGGAAUUCCCAGUGUAGCGGUGAAAUGCGUAGAGAUUGGGAGGAACACCAGUGGCGAAGGCGACUUACUGGACUGUAACUGACGCUGAGGCGCGAAAGUGUGGG
rnacentral:rRNA from 1 species